CUGGGAAGAUAACGGAGGUUGUUUGCCCGCCUUGGACGCGGGAGGUCGCAGGUUCGAAUCCUGCUUCCCAGA
rnacentral:tRNA from 7 species